CUUAACGCAUGCGCAUAAGUGCAAUUCCGUGAUAUAUUCGCGCUUUUUUACGCGACAGAUAUAUGCAAUUUAACUAAAGAAAGACAGGAAAAGACAGAAGAAGAGAGAGGAGCGUCUUACCUUAUAUCAAUAAGUUACUGCUGUAAACUUUAGACAUUUAUGCCGUGUUCCAGGAUGAACAACUCCUACAAGUUGUACGGAGGUUGUAUGCAAAAUGUUUGUGCAGUGAGCGUUACAGCGUGUUGUCCUUCAAAGAGUCAGUAGACGAAUUGUAUCAAGAAUAGCUUCAAAUAGUACAGUUGCUCUAAAGAAAGAGUUGAAGUACAAUACAUGACGCAGGAGAAAAAUCUAUAGCAAUCAAGCGAAGUAAAAUCAUUUUCCGAGUUCAAAAAGAGCAGCAGACGAUAAAUCGAGACAUCAGCUGCAGGAGAAAUGGCGAAAAUGAAGCCGAAUAAGAAAUUUGCACAUAAAAUAAUUUUGUCAAAUACGAUGGUUAAAACGAUUAUAUAAUGCUACUGCACGCCACCGAAGAAAAGGAAAAAAAUAAGAAGGAAAAAUUAUAAACGUAAGAAAAUGAAGGUCGAACGACCACUUGGAUUAUCCAUCGUUGACACCACAUGACAAAG